rnacentral:rRNA from 1 species
GACGAACGCUGGCGGCGUGCUUAACACAUGCAAGUCGAACGGAAAGGCCCUGCUUUUGUGGGGUGCUCGAGUGGCGAACGGGUGAGUAACACGUGAGUAACCUGCCCUUGACUUUGGGAUAACUUCAGGAAACUGGGGCUAAUACCGGAUAGGAGCUCCUGCUGCAUGGUGGGGGUUGGAAAGUUUCGGCGGUUGGGGAUGGACUGGCGGCUUAUCAGCUUGUUGGUGGGGUAGUGGCUUACCAAGGCUUUGACGGGUAGCCGGCCUGAGAGGGUGACCGGCCACAUUGCGACUGAGAUACGGCCCAGACUCCUACGGGAGGCAGCAGUGGGGAAUAUUGCACAGUGGGCGGAAGCCUGAUGCGGCAACGCCGCGUGCGGGAUGACGGCCUUCGGGUUGUAAACCGCUUUCGCCUGUGACGAAGCGUGAGUGACGGUAAUGGGUAAAGAAGCACCGGCUAACUACGUG